rnacentral:pre_miRNA from 1 species
UAAAUACUCCCUCCGUCCAAAAAUACUUGUCAUCAAAAUGGAUAAAAAGAGAUGUAUCUAAAACUAAAAUACGUCUAGAUACAUUUCCUUUUAUCCGUUUUGAUGACAAGUAUUUCCGGAUGGAGGGAGUAGUUG